AAAAUAUGUUCUAAAACCUGAUGUUCCAAGAUCACCUAAAACGUGAAACAGUAAAAGGAGGAAACGAAUUGCAAUGUCACCAAAAUCUCCAUGGAUCCUGGUAUGGAGGAACAUAAUUUUCUGUAGGGGGUAGGAGGUGAAAGGAUGCCACUGUUUUCUGUAAAGAAGGCCCCAUCUGCAUUCCCACUGCUUGCUGAGUGUUGAAGCAUUCAAGGAGUACAAGUAACCUAAUCAAAGAAAAGGAGAUGCAGGCUACGUUAUGGCGAAACAGAUUUGAAACUUACAGAUUGUGUAGGAGAUUUCCGAACUAGAUACUCAUAGUACCAGUAUGGUUCUCCAUCGACCUACAAAUAAAAUUCAAGAUUGUGCAUCAAGGACAGAACUCUCUGUCAUGCGUUGGCCUGUCGUCACCUUCUGCAAUGGGAUACAAUUUUUCAGCCAAAAUCCAAUCAGCAACAUCUUUUGGAUCCCACUUGCUCUUGUCCUUGGAAGGCGGAAAACGUGAAUUUGGCGGCCCAAUCUGCACCAACUGAGAUGACAACGUUAUGUAUCAUGUCAACUCGCUCCGAUACAAUACGUUGCCGUGCAUCAGCUAUAGUGGUGCAGCAGAGGAAUAUCGUUCUGGUUUUCUGGAUUCUACCCAUUUGAAUGUGAAUUUCUUUCCUGGCAAUUCAACUGGGUAAAGAAAAGAAUAUGCAUUGAUCGGGUCAACUAGCGUAGCCAUUUUCACAUCUUCAUCCAUCUCGGCAACAGCAUGCGCACCUGAAACCGGGAGGACGAGCACGAACGAAGACACGAGGCCGGACAGCAGCAGGCGCCUCCUCUCCAGGGCCAACCCGUCGCCUCCCGAAGCGGGGCCGCGCGCGCUCACGCUGGAGGAGCACGGGACGAGCGCCGCGCGGCGUCUCGUCCCCGUCGACGUGGCGCGCGCGCGCCCUCCUCCUCCUGUGCCA
rnacentral:sRNA from 1 species